rnacentral:rRNA from 1 species
GUCCUAGCUGUAAACGGUGCACAUUUGCUGUAGGCGGAAUCGACCCCGUCUGUGGCGAAGCUAACGCGUUAAAUGUGCCGCCUGGGGAGUACGGUCGCAAGAUUAAAACUCAAAGAAAUUGACGGGGGCCUGCACAAGCGGUGGAGUAUGUGGCUUAAUUCGAUGCAACGCGAAGAACCUUACCUGGCCUUGACAUGUAGGUAGUAGAACCGUGAAAAGCGGAACGAGGUAGCAAUACCAGCUUACACAGGUGCUGCAUGGCUGUCGU